rnacentral:tRNA from 1 species
GGAGAGAUGGCUCAGUAGCUAAGAGCACUGGCUGCAACUCAGGUGGACCUAGGUUUGGUUCCUAGCAUCUACA